UACAGAGGGGGCAAGCGUUGUUCGGAAUUACUGGGCGUAAAGGGCGCGUAGGCGGCCUUCUAAGUCGAACGUGAAAUCCCCGGGCUUAACCUGGGAACUGCAUUUGUGACUGCAUGGCUGGAGUGCGGCAGAGGGGGAUGGAAUUCCGCGUGUAGCAGUGAAAUGCGUAGAUAUGCGGAGGAACACCGAUGGCGAAGGCAGUGAUCUGGGCCAGUACUGACGCUGAGGAGCGAAAGCGUGGGGAGCAAACAGG
rnacentral:rRNA from 1 species